rnacentral:tRNA from 1 species
GUCCCUAUGGUGUAACUUGGAUAGCAUACGAUCUUGCGAAGGUUGUGACCCGAGUUCGAAUCUCGGUAGGGGCACCA